CAGUAGCCGCGGGAAUACGGAGGGUGCAAGCGUUAAUCGGAAUUACUGGGCGUAAAGCGCACGCAGGCGGUUACUCAAGUCAGAGGUGAAAGCCCGGGGCUCAACCUCGGAACUGCCUUUGAAACUAGGUGACUAGAAUCUUGGAGAGGUCAGUGGAAUUCCGAGUGUUGAGGUGGAAUUCGUAGAUAUUCGGAAGAACACAGUGGCGAAGGCGACUGACUGGACAAGUAUUGACGCUGAGGUGCGAAAGCGUGGGGAGCAUACAGGAUUAGAUACCCCUGUAGUCCCUGUCUCUUAUACA
rnacentral:rRNA from 1 species